UCCUCCGUGGCGCAAUUGGCUAGCGCGUUCGACUGUUAUUAACAGUAAAUCGAGAGGUUGACAGUUCAAGCCUGUCCGGGGGAG
rnacentral:tRNA from 1 species